rnacentral:tRNA from 1 species
UCCUUGGUAGCUUGUUUGGUAGGGCACUCGCCCGGUAAGUGAGAGUUCGUGGGUUCGGUUGCCGCCCAAGGAC